UUAACGCCGUCUCACCAACUCCCUCCCUUACCUAACUCACCAAUCUCCCAACUCUUCACAUGUAUAUAAACACAUCUCCCAUCUACCACAGCAUUCAGGAACAUAUAAACAAACACACAUAAAAAAAUAUAGUAACUAUUCAUUCCCAUCUCAAAACAUAAAAUAGCCAAUGAUGGAUUUUCUCUUGUUGGAGAAGGCCCUGCUGGGCUUGUUUAUUGCAACUAUUGUAGCCAUCACUAUUUCUAAGCUGAGGGGGAAGAAGCUGAAGCUGCCUCCUGGGCCUCUACCAGUUCCUGUGUUUGGUAACUGGUUGCAAGUUGGGGAUGAUCUUAAUCAUAGGAACCUGGUGGACUAUGCCAAGAAGUUCGGUGAAGUGUUUCUCUUACGUAUGGGACAGAGGAACCUGGUGGUUGUGUCUUCCCCUGACUUGGCUAAAGAUGUGUUGCAUACUCAGGGUGUUGAGUUUGGAUCACGCACUCGUAACGUUGUUUUCGAUAUCUUUACAGGUUUCUUACACAACACUUAAUUUUAUGGUUUUUCUAGUGUGUGAUCACUUUUUAGUUAGGUUGCAGAUUUUAAUUUUAUUAAAGACCUGCGUGUACAAAAAUCUUCACCAAUUAAAAUUUUUCACUUAAGCAGUGAGAAAGAACCUUAAUUUUAUGAAUUUAUGUUUUUUGGUUAUCUGUGAUUAACCUAUGAUAUAAUUCAAUGCUCCUUGUGAAUUUUGUAAUAUGUUUGGUACACAGUGAUUCGGGUUAGAACAAUUUAUAAAUGGGAACAGAGAGAUUGAUUUAUAU
rnacentral:lncRNA from 1 species